UCAAAGAUGAAAAAGGACCAAUCAGUAUUCACGUCAAGAUUUGAAUGAUUUUUACUGACUUUUAUGUUCUUCGUCCUCAAAUUUCCUUCCAGGGAGUCCACUUGACAACAUCGCGACACAACACGGAAUUUGCCAGAGACGAUGGAUGGGAAAAUCGUUGUGGGGGGGGUUCUUUUUCUCCUUUGUCUUUCUCGCUGUUUCUAUUGUUCCUUCUCAUAUUUUCUUUAUUUUACGAUUUCUUGUCUUCCCUUCUGUCAUUUUCCCGUUUUCUUUUCGUGUGAUCCCUUUUUCUCUCUCUCACUUUCUAUAUUACCUCAUCUUUCUGUCUUCAUUGCCCUUUCACUCCAUCUUUUCAUUUUUUUCUUAAAUGCUCUCUUUUAGUUUAUCUCUUUCCCUCAAUCAUUCUCUCACUUUUCUUUGUCUUUCUCUGUUCUUUUCUCAUUUCCUUCUUAUUUUCCCUUUUUUGUUUGUCACUGUCUACUUCUCUAUUGUUUCUUUCUCUACCUCUGACUUUGUGUCUGCCUUUCUUUAUUUUGUUUUGUUUCUUUGUUAUCUUUUUUCUUAGUCUUUUCUCGCCUAUUUCUCCUCAUUUUCCUCCUUUCUUUCUGUCAUUCUUUGUACUUCUUUAGUUGUUUCUUAGUCCUUCUGUCUCUUUCUGUCUGUCGUUCUCUCUUUCAGGGCAGGAAGAAGCGAAGAUGUCGGUGGAGUUUAACUGCGGAUGCCUUUCAUGUGGAAAAAAGCGGCGGAAUCUUCCAGGAGCGCCGCGGGACCUCAGCCCCGAGUCGGGCUCACAUUAUCUAGGACACACACUCACACACACACACACACACACACACACACACACACACACACUUACACGAAUGCGUGCACACACACACAAGAGUAGUCCUGCCGCAAUUAGGAAUCCAAAGCCAAUGUCUUCAAAGGCUCCUUUCGCCGUGUGAAACUAUCACGCGAAGUAUUUUUCAAACCUCAGACGUAGUCAUUAUUAUUAAAAUGAUCAUUAUUAUUAUUAUUAUUGCAGGAGCUUUUAUAUAUAUAUAAAAAGUCGCCAUUGUGAUUAAAAAAAAUGAAGCUCGCAUGGAUAUUUUUAGUUGGGGAUUAAAGCGUCAUGGAAGGAAAUUUGGAGGAAAAAGGACCCCAAAAAAAAAAAAAAAUCACAUGAGCAGCACAUUUUUAAUUAAAUCAAUGAAGAGAAAAAAAUGUAAUUAAUGAAAGCUUUUAGCUAGCAGCUGCACUGGGGGAACCCCACGCUUUUACAUUUUGGGAAUAAUGCAUGCAUGCAGUAUGCCGCCGACCCCAACUAAAAUCCCCCGCCAGAAAGCCCGUUUUUUUUUUUCCGUCCCUGAGCGCACCUGGUUUGAUGAGCGCACAACCAAAAAAAGAAAGUCUCCACUUUUUCAAAUGAAAAGAAUAUUUUGCUUUCAUUUUGUUUUUGUGUGUAUAACUUUUCAUCUUUGAUGUUUCAGGAUAGCUGCAAACGCUAGCUAAAAACAGACAUUAACGCUACAGCUUUGGUCAGCACGCCCUCAAAGGGCAAAAAGGCUGCCACAGUUUAGUACUGCUUGCACCAAUAAAUACCAUGUUGGUCUUUAUUAGUGUGUGUUUGUGUGUAUGCUUUUACAUGUAAGUUUAUGGUAGUGUGAUUGUGUGAAUGUGUUUCAUCCUUCUGUGAAUAAGUAAGUGUGUGAAUAUACUGUAUAUGUAUUUAUGUUUGUGUGACAAAAACAUUUGUAUCAAGUAUCUUAUGUUUGCUCACAAAAAUGCUUUGUGUGUGUGAAUGAGUCUGUGAGUGUGAGAUAGAGAGAAAGAAAAACAAAAAUAAGUGUAUAAAAGAAGUGGACUUAAAGUUCAGAAGGGUUGAAAUAUACUCAAAUACAAAAAACAUUUUUUUACUGGAUUAAUGCCGAUUGCUUUCUAAAUAAACGUAACCAGGAAAAGGAA